ACWACUUUCAGCAACGGAUCUCUUGGCUCUCGCAUCGAUGAAGAACGCAGCGAAAUGCGAUAAGUAAUGUGAAUUGCAGAAUUCAGUGAAUCAUCGAAUCUUUGAACGCACCUUGCGCUCCUUGGUAUUCCGAGGAGCAUGCCUGUUUGAGUGUCAUGA
rnacentral:rRNA from 1 species